CGUCAAAGAGAAGUGAGGAAAGCGGCGGACGGGUGAGUAACGCGUAGGCAACCUGCCCUUAGCAGAGGGAUAGCCAUUGGAAACGAUGAUAAAACCUCAUAACGCUGAUAGAGCACAUGCUAGAUCAGCCAAAGAUUUAUCGGCUAAGGAUGGGCCUGCGUCUGAUUAACUAGUUGGUGAGGUAACGGCUCACCAAGGUGACGAUCAGUAGCCGACCUGAGAGGGUGAUCGGCCACAUUGGAACUGAGACACGGUCCAAACUUCUACGGAAGGCAGCAGUAAGGAAUCUUGCACAAUGGGGGAAACCCUUGAUGCAGCAACGCCGCGUGAACGAUGAAGGCCUUCGGGUUGUAAAGUUCUGAUCUUGGGGAAGAAGGAAGUGACGGUACCCAAGGAGAAAGCCCCGGCUAACUACGUGCCAGCAGCGGC
rnacentral:rRNA from 1 species